rfam:[Clostridium] purinilyticum strain DSM 1384 CLPT_54c, whole genome shotgun sequence.
GUGCUAGGUGUUGGGGGUCGAACCUCAGUGCCGAAGUUAACACAUUAAGCACUCCGCCUGGGGAGUACGGUCGCAAGACUGAAACUCAAAGGAAUUGACGGGGACCCGCACAAGCAGCGGAGCAUGUGGUUUAAUUCGACGCAACGCGAAGAACCUUACCAAGACUUGACAUCCCUCUGACCGGACUAGAGAUAGUCCUUUCUCUUCGGAGACAGAGGUGACAGGUGGUGCAUGGUUGUCGUCAGCUCGUGUCGUGAGAUGUUGGGUUAAGUCCCGCAACGAGCGCAACCCUUGCCUUUAGUUGCUAACAUUUAAGUUGAGCACUCUAGAGGGACUGCCGGUGACAAACCGGAGGAAGGUGGGGAUGACGUCAAAUCAUCAUGCCCCUUAUGUCUUGGGCUACACACGUGCUACAAUGGUCGGUACAACGGGGAGCGAAGCCGUGAGGUGGAGCAAAUCCCAAUAAGCCGAUCCCAGUUCGGAUUGUAGGCUGAAACUCGCCUACAUGAAGCCGGAGUUGCUAGUAAUCGCAGAUCAGAAUGCUGCGGUGAAUACGUUCCCGGGUCUUGUACACACCGCCCGUCACACCAUGAGAGUCGAUAACACCCGAAGCCGGUGAGCUAACCGUAAGGAGGCAGCCGUCGAAGGUGGGAUUGAUGAUUGGGGUGAAGUCGUAACAAGGUAGCCGUAUCGGAAGGUGCGGCUGGAUCACCUCCUUU